UGCCAGCCGCCGCGGUAAUACGGAGGGUCCAAGCGUUAUCCGGAUUUAUUGGGUUUAAAGGGUGCGCAGGCGGAACUUUAAGUCAGUGGUGAAAUCUUGCCGCUUAACGGUAAAAUUGCCAUUGAUACUGAAGUUCUUGAAUGUAGUUGAGGUAGGCGGAAUGUGUUGUGUAGCGGUGAAAUGCAUAGAUAUGACACAGAACGCCAAUUGCGAAGGCAGCCUACUAAGCUACGAUUGACGCUGAUGAACGAAAGCUAGGGUAUCAAACGGGAUUAGAUA
rnacentral:rRNA from 1 species